UACGGAGGGUGCGAGCGUUGUCCGGAAUCAUUGGGCGUAAAGGGCGCGUAGGCGGCCGCUUGCGUCGAAUGUGAAAGCCCGGGGCUCAACCCCGGAACGGCAUCCGAUACGGGGCGGCUCGAGACCGAGAGAGGUGAGUGGAAUACCCAGUGUAGAGGUGAAAUUCGUAGAUAUUGGAUGGAACACCGGUGGCGAAAGCGGCUCACUGGCUCGGUUCUGACGCUGAGGCGCGAAAGCGUGGGGAGCAAACAGG
rnacentral:rRNA from 1 species